rnacentral:rRNA from 1 species
UACGAAGGGGGCUAGCGUUGUUCGGAAUGACUGGGCGUAAAGGGCGCGUAGGCGGCGCAUCAAGUCGGGCGUGAAAGCCCCGGGCUCAACCUGGGAACUGCGUUCGAGACUGGUGCGCUGGAGUUCGGGAGAGGAGAGUGGAAUUCCCAGUGUAGAGGUGAAAUUCGUAGAUAUUGGGAAGAACACCGAUGGCGAAGGCAGCUCUCUGGACCGAUACUGACGCUGAGGCGCGAAAGCGUGGGGAGCAAACAGG